AUGAACGCUGGCGGCGUGCCUAAUACAUGCAAGUCGAGCGCACAGACGAGGAGCUUGCUCCUCUGACGUUAGCGGCGGACGGGUGAGUAACACGUGGAUAACCUACCUAUAAGACUGGGAUAACUUCGGGAAACCGGAGCUAAUACCGGAUAAUAUAUUGAACCGCAUGGUUCAAUAGUGAAAGACGGUUUUGCUGUCACUUAUAGUUGGAUCCGCGCCGCAUUAGCUAGUUGGUAAGGUAACGGCUUACCAAGGCAACGAUGCGUAGCCGACCUGAGAGGGUGAUCGGCCACACUGGAACUGAGACACGGUCCAGACUCCUACGGGAGGCAGCAGUAGGGAAUCUUCCGCAAUGGGCGAAAGCUUGACGGAGCAACGCCGCGUGAGUGAUGAAGGUCUUCGGAUCGUAAAACUCUGUUAUUAGGGAAGAACAAAUGUGUAAGUAACUAUGCACGUCUUGACGGUACCUAAUCAGAAAGCCACGGCUAACUACGUG
rnacentral:rRNA from 1 species